AAGUCGUAACAAGGUUUCCGUAGGUGAACCUGCGGAAGGAUCAUUAACACGUAUCCAAACGUUAAAACAACCCUGUGAACCUUAAUUCGUGAUCUUGCAGGCAGCUAAAACAGCAAUCCCUCGUAAAACAGGCGCUAAAGAAUUACAGAUAUUGAUUUGAGGGAAUUCUGUCAGUACGCUGACGCUGCAAUCGAGCGCUAGAUAAAGCACCCUGGUACCCUCGAGCAAUCACCUGUCUGAAAGCGUCAAGUGAUCAAUGUUCUAGGUCCACACGACCGGCGACCGGGGUGGCGGCGAAAGUCCCUACGUCACACCAUGCACCCUCCGGGACUUGGCGAAAGCUGACUCCGUCAUAAAUCGAACAACUGUUAACAAUGGAUAUCUUGGUUCUC
rnacentral:misc_RNA from 1 species